UACGUAGGUGGCAAGCGUUGUCCGGAUUUACUGGGCGUAAAGCGCGCGUAGGCGGUCUUUCAAGUCAGGAGUGAAAGCCCGAGGCUCAACCUCGGAACUGCCUUCGAUACUGCGGGUCUCGAGUCCGGGAGAGGUGAGUGGAAUUCCUAGUGUAGAGGUGAAAUUCGUAGAUAUUAGGAAGAACACCAGUGGCGAAGGCGGCUCACUGGCCCGGUACUGACGCUGAGGCGCGAAAGCGUGGGGAGCAAACAGG
rnacentral:rRNA from 1 species